rnacentral:rRNA from 1 species
GUGCCAGCAGCCGCGGUAAUACAGAGACUGCAAGCGUUAUUCGGAUUCACUGGGCGUAAAGGGUGCGUAGGCGGCCGCAUGUGUCAGGUGUGAAAGCCUGGGGCUUAACCCCAGAAUUGCGCCUGAAACUGUGCGGCUAGAGUGCCGGAGAGGAUAGCGGAAUUCACGGUGUAGCAGUGAAAUGCGUAGAUAUCGUGAAGAACACCAGCGGCGAAGGCGGCUAUCUGGAAGGCAACUGACGCUCAGGCACGAAAGCGUGGGGAGCAAAAGGGAUUAGAAACCCCCGUAGUCC